rnacentral:tRNA from 1 species
UCCCUGGUGGCUCAGACUGUAAAGAAUCUGCUUGCGAUACAGGAGACCCAGGCUCGAUCCCUGGCUCGGGAA